UACGUAGGGUGCAAGCGUUAAUCGGAAUUACUGGGCGUAAAGCGUGCGCAGGCGGUUGUGCAAGCCCGAUGUGAAAUCCCCGGGCUUAACCUGGGAAUUGCAUUUGUGACUGCACGGCUAGAGUGUGUCAGAGGGGGGUAGAAUUCCACGUGUAGCAGUGAAAUGCGUAGAUAUGUGGAGGAAUACCGAUGGCGAAGGCAGCCCCCUGGGAUAACACUGACGCUCAUGCACGAAAGCGUGGGGAGCAAACAGG
rnacentral:rRNA from 1 species